rnacentral:rRNA from 1 species
CAAUGGGCGCAAGCCUGAUCCAGCCAUGCCGCGUGCGGGAAGAAGGCCUUCGGGUUGUAAACCGCUUUUGUCAGGGAAGAAAAGGUUCUGGCUAAUACCUGGGACUCAUGACGGUACCUGAAGAAUAAGCACCGGCUAACUCCGUGCCAGCAGCCGCGGUAAUACGGAGGGGGUUAGCGUUGUUCGGAAUUACUGGGCGUAAAGCGCACGUAGGCGGAUCGGAAAGUUGGGGGUGAAAUCCCGGGGCUCAACCCCGGAACUGCCUCCAAAACUAUCGGUCUAGAGUUCGAGAGAGGUGAGUGGAAUUCCGAGUGUAGAGGUGAAAUUCGUAGAUAUUCGGAGGAACACCAGUGGCGAAGGCGGCUCACUGGCUCGAUACUGACGCUGAGGUGCGAAAGUGUGGGGAGCAAACAGGAUUAGAUACCCUGGUAGUCCACACCGUAAACGCUGUCUACUAGCUGUGUGUGCCUUUAAGGCGUGCGUAGCGAAGCUAACGCGCUAAGUAGACCGCCUGGGGAGUACGGCCGCAAGGUUAAAACUCAAAUGAAUUGACGGGGGCCCGCACAAGCGGUGGAGCAUGUGGUUUAAUUCGAUGCAACGCGAAGAACCUUACCUACACUUGACAUGCAGAGAACUUUCCAGAGAUGGAUUGGUGCCUUCGGGAACUCUGACACAGGUGCUGCAUGGCUGUCGUCAGCUCGUGUCGUGAGAUGUUCGGUUAAGUCCGGCAACGAGCGCAACCCACAUCCUUAGUUGCCAGCAGUUCGGCUGGGCACUCUAGGGAAACUGCCCGUGAUAAGCGGGAGGAAGGUGUGGAUGACGUCAAGUCCUCAUGGCCCUUACGGGUUGGGCUACACACGUGCUACAAUGGCAGUGACAAUGAG